rnacentral:rRNA from 1 species
UACGUAGGGUGCGAGCGUUAAUCGGAAUUACUGGGCGUAAAGCGUGCGCAGGCGGUGUUGCAAGCCGGAUGUGAAAUCCCCGGGCUCAACCUGGGAAUGGCAUUCGGGACUGCAAGGCUGGAGUGCGGCAGAGGAGACUGGAAUUCCUGGUGUAGCAGUGAAAUGCGUAGAUAUCAGGAGGAAUACCGAUGGCGAAGGCAGGUCUCUGGGCUGACACUGACGCUCAUGCACGAAAGCGUGGGGAGCAAACAGG